rnacentral:rRNA from 1 species
GAUGAACGCUGGCGGCGUGCUUAACACAUGCAAGUCGAACGAGCAGCCAGAAGUGCUUGCACAUCUGGUGGGCGAGUGGCGAACGGGUGCGUAACACGUAGAAACCUGCCCUGAGGAGGGGGAUAACGGCUGGAAACGGCCGCUAAUCCCGCAUGGUCUGGGUGGUCGAGAGGCGAUCCAGUAAAGGCUCCGGCGCCUCAGGAGGGGUCUGCGGCCUAUCAGGUAGUUGGUGAGGUAAAGGCUCACCAAGCCAAUGACGGGUAGGGGGCGUGAGAGCGUGGCCCCCCACACGGGAACUGAGACACGGUCCCGACGCCUACGGGCGGCAGCAGUGAGGAAUCUUGCGCAAUGGGGGAAACCCUGACGCAGCGACGCCGCGUGCGGGAGGAAGGCCUUCGGGUCGUAAACCGCUUUUCUGGGGGACGAGAAAAGGACGGUACCCCAGGAAUAAGUCCCGGCUAACUACGUGCCAGCCGCCGCCGUAAGAC